AGCUCAGUUGGUAGAGCAAUGGAUUGAAGCUCCAUGUGUCGGCAGUUCGACUCUGUCC
rnacentral:tRNA from 1 species